GAUCCUGCCAGUAGUCAUAUGCUUGUCUCAAAGAUUAAG
rnacentral:rRNA from 1 species